UAACGUUUGAAACGAGUGGCGGGGAAGCGCUGCGGGAUCCGCGGCAGUGGGUGUCUGCACGGUGUAAGGCGCGCCUUCGUCUGUGGGCCGAGCCAUGGCUCUGCAGCUCACCCGGGAGCAGGGUGUUACACUCCGCGGAAGCGCCGAAAUCGUGGCUGAGUUCUUCUCAUUUUAUAUCAGCGUGGCAUAUAUCCAUCUGAAACCUUUACCUGAGUGCAAAAAUAUGAACUCCACCUUGCUUGUGACUGCUGAUCCUGAACUCAUCAAAUACCUAAAUAAUGUGGUGGAUCAACUAAAAGAAUGGUUAUAGAAAUGUUCUGUUCAGAAACUGGUGGUAGUCAUCUCAAAUAUUGAAAGCAGUGAGGUCCUUGAAAGCUGGCAGUUUGAUAUUGAGUGUGAGAAGACUGCAAAAGAUGACAGCCAGAGCAAAGUCUCAGAAAACUAUCCAAGAUGAGAUACGUUCAGUGAUCAGACAGAUCACGGCUACAGUAACAUUUCUGCCGCUGUUGGGAGUUUCCUGUUCAUUUGAUCUACUGAUUUACACAGAUAAAGAUUUGGUUUUACCUGAGAAAUGGGAAGAAUCAGGACCACAGUUCAUUAUCAGUUCUGAGGAAGUCCGUCUUCGUUCAUUCACUACUACAAUCCACAAAGUAAAUAGCAUGAUGGCAUACAAAACUCCGGUCAAUGGCUGAGGGAUGAGCUGAGAAAAAUAAUGUACUUGGCAAUUCUCAAAUGUGUUUUCCUGAAAGGAAGUCAACUACAAGUUGAUAUUUUUAUUUCACUGGUGAAUUUUUAGGUGGGGAAACAACAUUAUACCCUCCUGAAGUGUGCAUCAUCCAUUUUUUGUACCUGUUUAAUGUUCCAUGGAGUUGACAUCAUGAAUUUGAGAUGAUGGCAUUAUCCCUUCACUAAUGUAUUUGGCUAAAUAGAUGAGCACAAAAGCAUAUUGCACGUUGUCCAAAAGGGAAUCAGUGUUCUAAUGUCAGUUCUUUUGAAGGUGGCAACGGUAGUUGGAAAAACUUUCAGUAUAAAGCUAAAUAACUUGCUAAAUCAGACAUUUUGGUCAAGUAGCUUGAGUCAGAAUAUAGGUAGGGUGAUAUUUAAUUGUAAAUUACUGCAAAAAUAGUCUGACUAUUCAGAAUCUUUGUUUAGAUCCUGAAAAUAAUAUAAUCCAUAAGUCAAGAAAUAUUGAGGUCCGUCCAGCAUUUUUUUAGAUCUAGAGUUCCCAUGUUGAAAACAUUUCCAAUUAUUUGACUUUAUAUAACUUUACCUAUGAAGCUUUGAAUGUUUCUACUGUUUAAUUUCCUGUGAUAGAGAACUCUUUGAAAAUGUCCUUUUAUGUUUGAUAAAAUCAAGCUUUUAAUGACAAUGGUGAAAUAAAGUUAAAUUUGUGUGUUUUAAAUUUGUCUUAAAAUGUUUUGAUACUGGUGUUAAAUGGUAGGUGAGAUGGGUUCAGUAUUGCAAAUGAUUUUUUUGUGUCACCUAGGCUAUAGGUCCAAAGCAUACAAAGACGAGGAAAUCUUGAGGUACCUUGUAUCUAUUGUGUUUGGUUAUACCACUUUAAUCUCAUAAUAAUCGACUUAAAAUCAACAUUGAUUGUUUGUAUAACAAGAGAUAUGCCUUUCGGAAUUAGUUCAGUUUAGCAAAUGUUGGAUUGUAGUACCUUUAGGAGUCCCUGGGUGGCGCAAAAAAUUAAGCACUGGACUAGUAACGAAAAGUUUGGUGGUUCAAACUCAUCUACAGGCAACUCAGAAAUAAGGCCUGGCAAUCUGCUUUCAAAAUUUCAGAGCCUUGAAAAAUAUGGAGCAGUUCUACUGUGUGCACGAUGGGUUGCCAUGAGGCAAAAUCAACUCGAGGGCAACUAACAAUAACAACAAACUGCCUUUCUAUGCUCUUAGCCUUACCUUCUUGACUUAUGUGUAAGAUUUCUCACAAUAUCCUUAAUACGGCCUUUUUUUUUACUCUCAGCUUGGUUAUCUUUGUGUACUUAUACAGCUUGCUUAUCCCUGUGCCUGCAUUAAUACUAUCAUCAGGUGUGUUCUAUCUAGUUCUCACCUAUUUUUCCAAGGUCAAUUUAUUGCGAACUUCAAAGAAAUCUUUUAUAAUCUAUUCUGAAUCUCAUCUCUUUUAUAGUAAGUGAAUUUAUUACGUAGCUACAAUGUCCAUUGGACACUGUUCUAAUUUAACUUUCACUUUUCAGUGAAUACACAUAGCCUGUAUUCAUUUAUUCAAAAAUUACAUGUUGAGCGUCUAUUAAUGUGCAAAAAUGCUAUGUUGCAAGUGUCAGGAUGAAUGAAACAACGUUCUGGCCUUUCCAAAGCUUAAAAUCUUAGGAGGCAAAGGAAAAUACCUUGCAGAG